rnacentral:guide_RNA from 1 species
AUAAUAUUCAACAACAUCAUAAACUGUAGGAUAAUGUGAUAGUG